AUUGAACGCUGGCGGCAUGCCUUACACAUGCAAAUCGAACGGCAGCACAGGAGAGCUUGCUCUCUGGGUGGCGAGUGGCGGACGGGUGAGGAAUACAUCGGAAUCUACUUUUUCGUGGGGGAUAACGUAGGGAAACUUACGCUAAUACCGCAUACGACCUACGGGUGAAAGCAGGGGAUCUUCGGACCUUGCGCGAUUGAAUUAGCCGAUGUCGGAUUAGCUAGUUGGCGGGGUGAAGGCCCACCAAGGCGACGAGCCGUAGCUGGUCUGAGAGGAUGAUCAGCCACACUGGAACUGAGACACGGUCCAGACUCCUACGGGAGGCAGCAGUGGGGAAUAUUGGACAAUGGGCGCAAGCCUGAUCCGGCCAUACCGCGUGGGUGAAGAAGGCCUUCGGGUUGUAAAGCCCUUUUGUUGGGAAAGAAAUCCAGCUGGUUAAUACCCGGUUGGGAUGACGGUACCCAAAGAAUAAGCACCGGCUAACUUCGUGCCAGCCGCCGCCGUAA
rnacentral:rRNA from 1 species